GACUACUAGCCGAGGAGUCGAGAAGACUGAAGAGAACUCAUUUCCCUUUUCUUCUCUUCUCAGUCUCGCUCCCCCCUUUAAUGAUUAAUCACUCAGUUCUCACUUCUCAAUAAUUAAUCACCCAAUUAGAUAUGGAAAUUGUGACUGAAGUGAAGUUGAUGCAUUGAUGCAACAUGCCAGACAGCCAAGCAAGAUCACACUACUCACUAGCGUGUUGACACUGUUACCUGUUAGCCUCUGUUAGACAUUGUUUUUUCUUUUUUGGCUUUGCUGUAGCCUGUUGUGUACUUUCUUUUGCAUUCAUUAGACUGGGAGUAAACUCUAAACAUUGUGCUUGUGUGGGUUUGUAGUUUUCACUGAACAUUUUGAACUCAAAAAGACCAAGACUCUGUUUUUCUUAA